CAGGCGGCCGCGGAGCAUCGCGUGCUCUGGAGGCCGGAGCUUAACAGGCAACUUUAGGCAUCUCCAAACACACGCUUCCAUUUUUCCUAAGCGUCACUCGGCCCAGCUAAGGAUUUCCUUUACUACUCAGCCCUCUGAUGCAAAAAAUAAAAGCAAAAACUCCAAAGUCCCGGGACAGUCUCUCCAUCUCUUCUCCUUUUGGAGCCCCCCUCCUAAAUGGGAAUCAGAUCGCCCUCAGCUGCUAUCUCCUCUGCUGGAGGAAGCAGGGAGAAAGUUGGGCGCCGCUGCGAGCGCCUCUCCCCCUGCUGUGUGUGUACGUGUGCACGCUCACGUCUUCCUCGCGCCGGCCCGGGACAGGAACUGCUGCUCUUGGCCUCGUUAACCCGACGACUUAGUUCGGUGGGCUAGCUUGGUUGGAGGAGGGUGGAGAGGCGAGCGCUGCCACCUAGCGCCACCUGGCCCUCAUCCGGUAUUGGCGGUACUUGCCCCUCCCCCGCACUCCCCACCCAAGUCUUGGAGAACAGGUGAGCCAGGGUACCAGCUCUCAACCCACGUCCUUGCCCGACUCCGCGCUCGCCCGCGCACUCUGCAGCAAUGCGCCUGGGAGGUUUCAUCACCCACCGCCCGCGGCGACAGCAACCCUGGGCCUCCGUAGCGAGGCGCACUCUCUGCCUCUUCAGCGCCUACGAGAGGCUCGCCUGAGAGAGGGGUUGCAGAGAUGGGCGCGCGGUUGUUUUUUCUGCUGUCGCUCAACUUUCCUGGGAGCCAGCUGCCUUCCAGCGAGGAGACUGCGGAGGCUGGGGGUCAGGGUGACCGCUGCUUCAGACCAGAGGAAAAACAGGAACACCAAUUAUUGUCAAUUAUGGUAAAAAUGUCUGAAGUGGGAAGCCAUGGAAGGAAUCAUCUAGAAGGAUGAUGCAAGGGGGAAGAAAGCAAGCUCUACUGCUGUGUCAUGCCGAGCACUUCCUCUGCUUUCAAGAAGGUAUACCACACAGGCGACACCAUCUUUGCAGUCUUCUAAUGAGCACUGCUUAUUUUUUCUUGGACAUGCAUUUAUUUAUUUAACUGCUGCCCAAAUGGUUUAUGGGGCAUACUUCUUUUGUUUUCAUGAAUAUAGCUGUAAAUAUAGAAUUUCUAAUCUUAUGUGCAAAGUGAUAGAGAGGAAAACUGACAGAGAGAUGUAUAAUUGUCAAGCAAAAGAGAUUAAUGUAAAAAGGCAAUAUUGUGCAUUGGUAAUAACCAUGACAAAAUAAACUGUAUGAACAAAGGUUCAGGCUAUGUGUCUGCCCUGAUGCCAACUUAGAUGACAUUUUCAAACUUAAGAUUCUGUGAGUAAACAUGGAGAAGAAAAGCAAACAUCAUCUUUUCAUCCAGUCAACCAUUCAACGGAAAUGAUUUUAUC
rnacentral:lncRNA from 1 species